rnacentral:rRNA from 1 species
UACGGAGGAUGCAAGCGUUAUCCGGAAUUAUUGGGCGUAAAGCGUCCGCAGGUGGCACUUCAAGUCUGUCGUCAAAGACCGGGGCUUAACCCUGGAAAGGCGAUGGAAACUGAAAGGCUAGAGAGAGGUAGGGGUAGAGGGAAUUCCCAGUGUAGCGGUGAAAUGCGUAGAGAUUGGGAAGAACAUCGGUGGCGAAAGCGCUCUACUGGACCUCAUCUGACACUCAGGGACGAAAGCUAGGGGAGCGAACUGG